rnacentral:lncRNA from 1 species
UUUUUUUUUUUUCCAUUUCCUCUCAUGUCCACAAAAUCCUUGGGUUGCUUUUCCUGGGGCUAGUUUGGCUUUUCCACAUGGGUUUUCUUCAGAGAAUGUGAUGCCAUCUCAUCGGCACUAGCUAUCGCCACGGCACUAUCUCUGGCGUCCUUGGGACUCAACAGGAGACACGAAGCACUGGCUCAGACAAGAGCAGUAGAAGAACCUUGACUUCCCUUUUGAGAAAGCACACGUUCUGCCUCGGAGCUCGGCUGCCACCCUCCGGUCUGAGCGUCGGUCACCCCAUGUUGAGAAAAGAUCCACUCUGAGCUCCACCCUGGGCUGGACGAAAACCAGGAAACUGGAAAUAUUCUUUUGUCUUGUGGCCUGUUUGGCCCUUCACUGCACUAUUCUGAAUGGCAGCCAUUCUGCUCAACAGAAUCCAAAAUCCGUAGCUGGCCUUUACUAUUGGUUUUUGACAAGUAAAUAUUCCCUUGUAGGAGACUAGACAUCCAUAUGAAAUACUCCCAAUCAGAAUAUAAGGCUCAAGGAGUUUGAUUUCGUGGCAAAGAUUUGCCUUCCAAAGGGAUCCAUCCUCAGGAAAAGUUGCCCCAAAGGCCUGGCAGUCCACAUGCCUUCACUCAGCAAAGACUUACUGAGUACUUCCUGUCUGCCAGCCACCAGGUUUAAAAACAAAACAAAACAAAACAAAGAAGGCAAGACUUGAGUCCUUGUGUUCACAAUCUAGUAGGAAAUCUUAAGCUCCAUUAAGUGCACAGCCCCUGCUUAUCUGGACCCUCAGGAUCAUCUAAGAAAUGUAGCCCAAACCCAAGGUGCCACCUAGAAAGAAGCCUUGACUGAGAUGUCUAAUACUUGGGAGACAGAAGAUCUGGGAUCCAUUAAGAUGGACCCUGAGGGACCAUGGAACCUUGCUUAUCUCAAGUGGACAAGUCCUCUUCCUGCCAUUCGUGGAGGCCCCCGUGGGGCGAGAUCCAGGCUGAACUACCUGGCAAGGCUGAAGUUUUGGGGCUCUGUGGAUCAAGGAUAUGUGAUGAGCCCGGGCCCAAGUGUGUGUCCCUCAGAUUCCUAUGUAGCACAAGACCUUGUCAGAAUCCACAGGCACACACACCUGGACUGUUGUGUCGCACCCAACCAAGGAAUACAUGCAUCUGACUCUUCAUAUCAGAAUCUUUCCAUUUAGGUCCAAAAGACGGUCCAGGUUGCUCCCCGAGAAAGCUUCCGCAUUCACCUGGAAACUCCCAGGGUUGACCGGCUCCUCUAUGCUGGAGACUGUUCAUUGCUUUUGCUGCUAAGUCCAUGAGCUGUGAAGAUCCCCAGCCAACUCAGCUGUAAAAUAUGCAAUUCUGUGGUGGGAAGAGGCUGUUUGUUCAAGGAUGGUGCUGACAUCACUGCCUUAAGGUCUCUGCUGUGCAGAACAAGGAGGCCCCAGAGCUGGGUGUUCUAACGUGGAAGGAAGGAUGGGCCUUCUUUGGACCGAGGCCUCUUCUGAACCCUGUCCUUAGCUCCAGUCCCGUGGCAAGGCUCGGACUUUUAACGCCAUCUUGAUCGGUGGUCGAGCCUUUAGCUCUCUUCUCUCUGGUGCUGCCCAGCCAGUGCCUUCUAUCACGGAUGUUACUGGCUACUUGAGAAAAAAGGAAAGGGAACAUCCCCUUCCUCCAUGCCAACUGCCUCAGACCCCAAAGGGAUUCUGGCUUCCUGGUAACCAUGGAUACCACCGUGAAUUUUAUUUGGAUCCUCAGUGGGUUGAUUCUGGAGGCCUCUCGUGAUGAAUUCUACUAUUUCUGGGACCCGCCACCCUCUACUCUGAGUUGACUGCUGCAUUUAGACCAGGUCUCUAGUUGCUUUCCUCCAAAAAGCGUGUUCCCAUCUAAUGAGGUGGCCCUGCAGCCUCAGCUUUCCCUCUGGAGCCUGGGACCCCGUUUACAGUUGCACACUUGGGCCCCGUUGCGGGCAUCUGUCGUCUCACCAAGGAAUCGUGGUGAUGUGGCAACUGCGGAAGGUUGAGUCUCCUCAUGGUGCUAUAACCCCUUGGGGUGCUCAUCCAGACUUCUCUGAAGCAGAAAACCUGAGCUCCCCCUUACUGCCCUCAAGUUAACGGCAAGAGCAAAUCCAUAGCCUUCUCUCCUACCUACGCACCUGCUUCUUAGUUGAGACUACCGGGAUCCCUCCGAAAAUGAAAACUAGGUCCUACUGCUAACUUCUCAGCCCCCAGGCACCUUCAGAAGAACCCAGCCUGUGUAGGACUGAGAUGUGUGCUCUCCCCUUCCUCUCCAGACUCUCAUUCCUCACCAAAGUGGGCUAGCAGAUGACACGGUUCAAUACCCAACAUCAAUCUCUGGGGAGAGCCACAACUCCAGGAGAGGUUCCUCCGCAGACUCCCUCUCGUUUCUGGAUGAAGACGACCAACACAUUUUGUCCAGUGUAUGUGUUUCUCAAUCCCUGCCUAGGCAUUAAAAAUAAAAUACUAGGUAAUUGGAGGCUAAUACAGGACCUGAUGUCUGUGUGUGUGUCUCUCUCCCUCCCUCCCAUUCUCUCUCUCUCUCUCAAGAGCACUUUGCUGUUGCUGUUUCCUAACUUCUGAGGCUUCAGAGUAUUUUUUAAAAAUCUAUGCUUUGUGGCAGCUCUACGGUGCUUACCUCUGUCUUUGUGUGAAUCCAACAUCUUUUUCAUGUAGUCUAACCAUUGGGAAGCUAGAGGCUAACAGGGAAGAAAGACUGGCUGUCCCAAUGACAGGCCCUACAGUGAAGUCCCUAUUGAUCGGCAUGCUACAUUUUGGUCUUGAAUUACCAGCCUUCUAACUAAUCUAUUCAAACACCUUAAGGAUUUCAGACAAAAUAGUGAUUUUUUGUUUCCCCCCUUUCAUCUCUGGCUUUUUGGUUCUUCUGGUUUACGAGACUCCCAAUGGACCUAAUCUCACCGCGUCUCCACCUCUAGCUCCCUGACACCAGGGUCACACUAUUCAGAGGGAUACCCCCUUCCAAUCUCAGAGUAGCUAGUUCCUGUAGUGUUCCGAAAGAGAAGGGAGACAACAGCCUGCUCUUUCUCAGAAACACCUCACAUCACCAACUGAGAGGACAACCAUAUACAGAAACCCUUCGGAUCAAUGAGAUUUGCCAGACUGACAGGGACUUGGUCCUACAAGCCAGCACUAGGAGACCUACGGGAGACUCUAAGGAUGUUUCAUUGCAGGGUGUUUGGGAAAGGAAGCUGUUCUUGUCCUGAUCACACAUUUAACACGGGGUUCAUGUGCUAAAGAUCACCAAAUGCAACUCCUCAUCGUACCUUUUUUUUUUUCCUUAUUUCUGGGCCUUAGUUAAGCGGAAGCUAAUAAGCAGAUUAUAAGUCAACCCCACUGAUGGGAUGAAAUGUGUUUUUCCCAAAGGUUUACUAAUGGAUAUACUAAUUUAAUGCUGGUAUACCCUUGAUGACUAGGAACUACUAGCAGGUUCUGGCUGCUGGUGGUUCAUGGCUCCACUAAAGAGGCCAUAAGUAAUAAAAUGGUCUUAGGGACAUUGUGUUCCCAAAAGGCCAAUGCCUGAAAAUACUGCCCUUUAUACUUGAAUCAGCUUUAUAUAUUCAUGAGUCCUCAACCAACCUGGUCAGGAAUAUAGGGGGCCUCCAGCUUGGCUCCCCCUCACCCCCACUGAGGAUCCACAUGUGGAUGUGUGCUCAGCCUGGCCCUGGAAGUAAGCGCUGCCAGCCAGAGACCCUAAGAAACAGAAGGAAACUGGAAGAGGAGGACCCUGAUAGAAAUCUGGAGGCCGCACAGAGACCGUUACAGUGGAAAAUUAAACCUAUGUAUACGGAUCCUCCCAGUUUGAUGUUUUGCUUAUUUUUCUGAAUGAUUAUGCCAUGGAGAAUUUUCUGUUGACAAGAGUGGUCAUGGAAGUAAGUGGGCCCUUGGUUCCUUGAUUCAACUCUUUCAUUUCUUAAAAUAGUGGUUUUCAAACUAUGUUUCCAGACCGGCAGCGUCAGCAUCUGGGAACUUGUUAAAAUUGAAAUUCUCAGGCCCCAUCUCAGGCCUACUGGGCUAGUAACUAGGGAGAAGGCCCAGCAAUUUGUGUUUUAACAAACACUCUUGGUAAUUCUGGCGCACGCUACAGUUUGAAAUUCACUUUUUUAAAAGGACAGGCUAGUAGCAGAGUCGCCACACGGAGGGGCUUUAGGACCAAAACCAAGAUGGUCCUGGGGUAAAACUCAAGCUAUUACAUUAGUUUCAGUUCCCUUUUUCGUGCUUCUCUAUGGUUCUGUUUUUCCUUUUAUUUAAAGGAAAAGGUAUGUGUGCCUUUGGGCAGACGUCAGGGGGAAUGCUUGGCAUCUCUUCUAGUCGAACACAAUCUUCAGAGAAAAAUCUCCUGGCUCUGAAAUUUUUACCUGGGAAACUAAUGGGCUGUAGCAGAAGAUAGCUGCCGGAGGUCUCUUCCAGACUGCUAUUCUGCUGGUUUAUUUGUGUCUACGCUAAGCCUUUUUUCUGAUUAUAUAAUAGGAUGGGAAAAGUCAGAAAAUCUCAUUUGUAUUUCCAUGGCAACUUGUUCUCUUAGCAACAUCCCCUUUUAGUUGAGUUCUAAAGGGCACUGCUGGGUCUGAGAAACCUGGCCAGAACCUCCUUCCCCAGGGCAGCUGGAGGGCUCCCGUGCCCAGAAAGACCCCUUCUCUGUGUUCUGCUCGGCUCACAGGAGGGACGGAAGCACAAUGACUAUGCAGGACGGGGGGGCUCAUCCUUCCCUUUCCCCACGCCAGGCCUAGGGUACGGAAUUACUCAGCCACAGUGAUAGAAUGGAAUCCUUUAUAGAAGGGUGAAAAAAAAUCUGAGAAGAGCUUCUUAUCUUUGCAGAUUCACAGAUUCUAGCUGAUGGGGCCACGGGGUAGAGGAAGCUGCUGACUACGGGCUUUGUUUCCAGUUUGUCAGUCUUCCCUGAGAUGGAGCUUGUGGGUAGAGGACAAAGAAAUGUGCUAGGACUAGGGCCUCUUGAAAUCUAGGACCAAGCACUGGGAGGAGGACCUAAGGCUAUUAGAAGACAAGCGUAAAACAAAUUGCACUAAAUUCACCCCUUCAGUCCCCAGAAGGCUGGUGACAGGCCUUGGGUCAUCUCCCAGGGGACCUUCUGGCUCCCAGCCAUUCAUUCCUCAGAGACUGAAGAUGUUGGAUAAUAAGCCAAGAGCUCCCAUACCCCGGCCAGUGUCUGGGCUACUGCUGUGCAAGAACCUCCCACUUAAUUGUUUUUGUUACUGUUGUUGGUUUUUGUGUUGUUUUUUUUUUUUUUUAAAGAACAAUUUUUUUUUAAAUGAAUUCCAACCCCUACUAGAUUCCUUUCCUUCCCUCCCCCCACCCACCCCCACCCAGUUUUCAGCAGCACUGUUUAUGCGAUGGAGUCUGUGUUUCUCAAAUGCGUGGCAAUCCUCAGGUGGAAAGUGGGUAGGAAUUUUUACAACAGGUUUCUUUUUCUUUUUUAAUUUAUUGGACAUAAAGCCCCAAACCAGGAUAUGUGUGUGUCUGUGUUUUUUUUUUUUUUCCCUCAUUGGACCCUCCCCCUCUUUCAAUCUACCCCCUUUUAUAUCUAAUGUAGAGAAAGCAAAUUUGAAUCUGGAAAGCAAACCAUUGUAUAUAGUUGCGGUAACAAUCAUGAAGAGAGUUGAGUUGUCCCCUCAGUAAUUCGUUUUAAGCAAAAAUUGGUUGACAAUGAAGUCCAUGGCAGGCCAGCUGAAGAGGCCUUCCUCCAUCACUGCCAGAGGCCCCUCUUAUCUGGGCCCUCUGUUCCAUCAGGCAUGUCUCCUCCCGGCAAGAUUCAUCUGUUCGAUGCCAUUUGCGUUUCAAUAAAGUUAUCUCCUGUAUUG